rnacentral:rRNA from 1 species
GAUGAACGCUAGCGGCAGGCCUAAUACAUGCAAGACGAACGGUAAGUUGAGUAGCAAUACUUGACCUAGAGUGUCGCACGGGUGCGUAACACGUAUGCAACCUACCCAUAACAGGAGGAUAGCUCCCCGAAAGGGGAAUUAACCCUCCAUAGUAAUAUUGGAUGGCAUCAUUUGAUAUUUAAAACUCCGGUGGUUAUGGAUGGGCAUGCGUCUGAUUAGUUAGUUGGCGGGGUAAUGGCCCACCAAGACGAUGAUCAGUAGGGGAACUGAGAGGUUGAUCCCCCACACUGGCACUGAGAUACGGGCCAGACUCCUACGGGAGGCAGCAGUAGGGAAUAUUGGUCAAUGGAUGGAAGUCUGAACCAGCCAUGCCGCGUGCAGGAAGAAGGCCUUAUGGGUUGUAAACUGCUUUUGCCAGGGGAUAAAAUAGCUGUGCGCAGCGAAUUGCAGGUACCUGGUGAAUAAGCCACGGCUAACUACGUGCCAGCAGCCGCGGUAAUACGUAGGUGGCAAGCGUUGUCCGGAUUUAUUGGGUUUAAAGGGUGCGUAGGCGGCCCUGUAAGUCAGUGGUGAAAUACUCCAGCUUAACUGGAGGGGUGCCAUUGAUACUGCAGGGCUUGAGUAAAGUUGAAGUUGGCGGAAUUGACGGUGUAGCGGUGAAAUGCUUAGAUAUCGUCAAGAACACCGAUAGUGAAGACAGCUAACUAAGCUUUAACUGACGCUGAGGCACGAAAGUGUGGGGAUCAAACAGGAUUAGAUACCCUGGUAGUCCACACUGUAAACGUUGAUGACUCGCUGUUGGCGAUACACAGCCAGCGGCCAAGCGCAGGCGAUAAGUCAUCCACCUGGGGAGUACGCCGGCAACGGUG